rnacentral:rRNA from 1 species
UACGGGGGGAGCAAGCGUUGUUCGGAUUUACUGGGCGUAAAGGGCGCGUAGGCGGCCACCGCAAGUCGACUGUGAAAUCUCCGGGCUUAACCCGGAAAGGUCAGCCGAUACUGCGGGGCUAGAGUGCAGAAGGGGCAACUGGAAUUCUCGGUGUAGCGGUGAAAUGCGUAGAUAUCGAGAGGAACACCUGCGGCGAAGGCGGGUUGCUGGGCUGACACUGACGCUGAGGCGCGAAAGCUAGGGUAGCAAACGGG